UUAUAGCUGUCAUCCUGAGCAAAGCGAAGGACCUUGUCAGGGUUGAGCGCGUCGUUAGUACGAUAGACGUUCAACCCUGACAAGGUCCUUCGCUUUGCUCAGGAUGACAG
rnacentral:misc_RNA from 1 species